rnacentral:tRNA from 1 species
GGUAUAUAUAAGUUAAGGAGACUAUUACCUUGAAAAGGUAAAAGUAAACGUUAUGUUUUGUUACCG